rnacentral:rRNA from 1 species
AUAUUGGACAAUGGGCGAAAGCCUGAUCCAGCAAUGCCGCGUGAGUGAUGAAGGCCCUAGGGUUGUAAAGCUCUUUUACCCGGGAAGAUAAUGACUGUACCGGGAGAAUAAGCCCCGGCUAACUCCGUGCCAGCAGCCGCGGUAAUACGGAGGGGGCUAGCGUUGUUCGGAAUUACUGGGCGUAAAGCGCACGUAGGCGGCGAUCUAAGUCAGGGGUGAAAGCCCGGGGCUCAACCCCGGAAUUGCCCUUGAGACUGGAUUGCUUGAACACGGGAGAGGUGAGUGGAAUUCCGAGUGUAGAGGUGAAAUUCGUAGAUAUUCGGAAGAACACCAGUGGCGAAGGCGGCCUGCUGGGCAGUGUCUGACGCUGAGGCGCGACAGCGUGGGGAGCAAACAGG